GGCUGCUCCUAGUACGAGAGGACCGGAGUGGACGCAUCACUGGUGUUCGGGUUGUCAUGCCAAUGGCACUGCCCGGUAGCUAAAUGCGGAAGAGAUAAGUGCUGAAAGCAUCUAAGCACGAAACUUGCCCCGAGAUGAGUUCUCCCUGACCCUUUAAGGGUCCUGAAGGAACGUUGAAGACGACGACGUUGAUAGGCCGGGUGUGUAAGCGCAGCGAUGCGUUGAGCUAACCGGUACUAAUGAACCGUGAGGCUUAACCUUACAACGCCGAAGGUGUUU
rnacentral:rRNA from 1 species